UUUCGAAUCAUUCACAAUGGGCGAAAGCCUGAUGGUGCGACGCCGCGUGGGGGAUGAAGGUCUUCGGAUUGUAAACCCCUGUCACCGGGGAAAAAAAUGCGGUAACUAAUAGUUACCGAACUGAUUUAACCCGGAGAGGAAGCAGUGGCUAACUCUGUGCCAGCAGCCGCGGUAAUACAGAGACUGCAAGCGUUGUUCGGAUUUACUGGGCGUAAAGGGUGCGCAGGCGGCCAGAUGUGUCGGGUGUGAAAGCUCAAGGCUCAACCUUGAAAUUGCGCCCGAAACUAUCUGGCUAGAGUACUGGCGAGGAGAGCGGAAUUCACGGUGUAGCAGUGAAAUGCGUAGAUAUCGUGAGGAACACCAAAGGCGAAGGCAGCUCUCUGGACAGUAACUGACGCUCAGGCACGAAAGCGUGGGUAGCAAAAGGG
rnacentral:rRNA from 1 species